rnacentral:rRNA from 1 species
UACAGAGGGUGCGAGCGUUGUCCGGAAUCACUGGGCGUAAAGGGCGCGUAGGUGGUGGCUUAAGCGUGCGGUGAAAGCUCGGGGCUCAACUCCGAGUCGGCCGUGCGAACUGGGCUCACUGGAGCAUAGUAGAGGCAGGUGGAAUUCCGGGUGUAGCGGUGGAAUGCGUAGAGAUCCGGAAGAACACCGGUGGCGAAGGCGGCCUGCUGGGCUAUGGCUGACGCUGAGGAGCGAAAGCAUGGGGAGCGAACAGG